GAUGAACGCUGGCGGCGUGCCUAAUACAUGCAAGUCGAGCGAACAGACGAGGAGCUUGCUCCUCUUACGUUAGCGGCGGACGGGUGAGUAACACGUGAGUAACCUACCUAGAAGACUGGGAUAACUUCGGGAAACCGGAGCUAAUACCGGAUAAUAUAUUGAACCGCCUGGUUCAAUAGGGAAAGACGGUUUUGCUGUCACUUAUAGAUGGAUCCGCGCCGCAUUAGCUAGUUGGUAAGGUAACGGCUUACCAAGGCGACGAUGCGUAGCCGACCUGAGAGGGUGAACUGCCACCCUGAAACUGAGACAGGGCCCAGACUCCUACGGGAGGCAGCAGUAGGGACUCUUACGCAAUGGGCGAAAGCGUGACGGAGCACAGCCGCGUGAGCGAUGAAGGUCUUAGGAUCGUAAAACUCUGUUAUUAGGGAAGAACAAAUGUGUAAGUAACUAUGCACGUCUUGACGGUACCUAACAAGAAAGCCACGGCUAACUACGUG
rnacentral:rRNA from 1 species